rnacentral:rRNA from 1 species
CCUUACCUGGGUUUGACAUCCUCUGAUCAUUAUAGAAAUAUAAUCUUUUCCGUAAGGAAACAGAGAGACAGGUGCUGCAUGGCUGUCGUCAGCUCGUGUCGUGAGAUGUUGGGUUAAGUCCCGCAACGAGCGCAACCCUUAUCUUUAGUUGCCAUCAUUAAGUUGGGCACUCUAGAGAAACUGCCGGUGAUAAAUCGGAUGAAGGUGGGGAUGACGUCAAGUCCUCAUGGCCUUUAUAUCCAGGGCUACACACGUGCUACAAUGGUUUGGACAAAGAGACGCAAGUUUGCGAAAACAAGCAAAUCUCAUAAACCAAAUCUCAGUUCGGAUUGAAGUCUGCAACUCGACUUCAUGAAGUCGGAAUCGCUAGUAAUCG